GUUCAAGAUAAUUGCAAUCUCCAUUGGAACUUAUAAUGCCACAAAUGCACCUACAUUUCUUUUUUUUCUCUUCCUUUCCUGUGUAUCAUGGGUCCAUACGAUGUGGUCCCCAAUUAGUUUGCUUUAGGAGAGAUUUAUUUCCUUGUUGAAGUAUGAGUUGUUUUGGCUUAUUGUAAAACUUGGAAAUUUUAAAUUGGCAGGCUAUAAAACACCAUUGGAUUUGUAAUGGAAAGUCAACUAUAGAGUUUAUAUUUUCUAAUUAGUUAAGAUUAAGUUCCUAUUUUGAAACAUAAUCAUAGGAAUUUACAUUCCUAUUCAGGACAAUUAAUUGUAUAUAAAAGAAUGUAUAUAUAUGUGCCAAAAUUAUUUUGCAUAAUCAAUUAGAAUUUUCUCAUU
rnacentral:misc_RNA from 1 species